AGGUUAUUGAGAUUUCACCCGGAAAAAUUCCAGCUUGUGCUUCCUCCAGCCCAGAGUUUCACAUGAUGUACUCUGCAUAUAAGUUACAAGUUACUUAGUUAUAAGUGAAUUUAUAACUUAUAUAACAUAUAAGUUAUAAGUUACGUAUAAGUUACAUCUAUGCUUACUUUGGAUUGAAUUUGCUCUUCUUUUUCUAGAAGCUUCGAUGAUUGAUUUUAGAAUAGUGUCCUCCAGUAGACGCAUUUUAGGUUUCCUUGUACGAACUGCUUUCAUUGAAUCCCACAGAUUCUGAUAAGUUGUUGUUUCACUCUCGUUUAGUUCAAAAUGUUUUAAUAUUCUCCUGAGAGUUCUUGACUAUUUAGAAGAGUGUUGUUUAAUCUCCAAGUCUCUUGGGGUUUUCCACCUAUCUUUCCAUUAUUGCUUUCUUUUUUAAUUCCACUGAGGUCUGAGAGUAUUCAUUGUAUAAUCUGUAUUCUUAUUUUUUCUAAUUAAAAACUUUUUUUUUUCCUGCCUGUACCAUGAGACUUGCCAGAUCUUGGUUCCCUGACCAGGGAUUGAACCUAUGCCUGCUGCACUGGAAGUGUGAAGUUUAACCCCCAGACCACCAAGGAGGUUCCAGGCUCCAUGCAAGCUGGAUGCUCUGCUCCAGGCAGCAGGACCCUGAGCUCCUAGGGACACUGGGCAGUGAUUCCCCUCAACCUGUCUCCACAUUCCACAGCCAGCAUAGACUCUAUCAGAAUAGUCCAGGAUGAAAGACCUCUGGCCAGAGGUGCCAUCCACCCUGAGACCUGAGCCAGGACAGUGAAGCAGCUCGACCUGAUCGGGAGCAGAGCAGCUGUGGCACCCAGUGCCUCGGUGAGAUAGGGAUUCCACUUCCUGGCUGUUCAUCCCGACUCUGGCUGGAUAAACCUGAGCCUGUGACAGUGGAACUCACCCAGGACCAUUGCACAGAGAGAGGACAGAAAGCCGCGUUCUUUCAAGCAGAGAUGCUUGCACAGCUUGCCCACGUGUGCAUGUACGUGCGUGUAUGUUGAGACACAGUCCACUGCUUCCCAACGUAAAGAGGAGUGUGGGGGCUUCCGGAGACCUCAGCUAUGGAGGGUGAGAGGCUGAAUCUCCGCAAGACAGGAAACGGCAAACAAAGGGUGGUCGUGAAGAGGCUGAGUGACUGGUGCAAGGGCCAGACUUGUUCAUUCGGUAAAUCGUGUCCGACUCUUUGCGACCCCAUAGACUGCAGCACACCAGAGUUCCCUGUCCUGCACUAUCUCCUGAAGUUUGCUCAGAUUCAUGUCCAUCAGUGAUGCUAUCUAACCAUCUCAU